rnacentral:rRNA from 1 species
UAGUAUUCUAGGGCUAAUACAUGAGAAAGUCCUCUGGUGAGGUGUGUUUAUUAUAAUGAAAACCAUAUGCUUCGGCAUGAUAGUGAGUAAUAGUAACCUAUCGUAUCGCAUGCUUAAUGUAGCGAUGAGUCUUUCAAGUUUCUGCCCUAUCAUCUUUCGAUGGUAGUAUAUGGGCCUACCAUGGCAGUAACGGGUAACGAA